rnacentral:rRNA from 1 species
ACGAAGGGGGCUAGCGUUGUUCGGAAUUACUGGGCGUAAAGCGUGCGCAGGCGGUCUCUCAAGUCAGGGGUGAAAGCCCAGAGCUCAACUCUGGAACUGCCCUUGAAACUGUGAGGCUCGAGUACGGGAGAGGUGAGUGGAAUUCCCAGUGUAGAGGUGAAAUUCGUAGAUAUUGGGAAGAACACCGGUGGCGAAGGCGGCUCACUGGCCCGCUUCUGACGCUCAUGCACGAUAGCGUGGGGAUCAAACAGGAUUAGAUACCCUGGUAGUCCACGCCGUAAACUAUGGACGCUAGCCGUUGGGUAGCUUGCUAUUCAGUGGCGCAGCUAACGCAUUAAGCGUCCCGCCUGGGGAGUACGGCCGCAAGGUUG